rnacentral:rRNA from 1 species
UAGUCCACGCCGUAAACGAUGGUCACUAGCUGUGUGGAUUUCGGUCUGCGUGGCUAAGCGAAAGUGAUAAGUGACCCACCUGGGGAGUACGUUCGCAAGAAUGAAACUCAAAGGAAUUGACGGGGGCCCGCACAAGCGGUGGAGCAUGUGGUUUAAUUCGAUGAUACGCGAGGAACCUUACCAGGGCUUAAAUGUAGUAUGACAGGACUAGAGAUAGUUUUUUCUUCGGACAUAUUACAAGGUGCUGCAUGGUUGUCGUCAGCUCGUGCCGUGAGGUGUCAGGUUAAGUCCUAUAACGAGCGCAACCCCUGCCGUUAGUUGCCGGCAUUUAAAGAUGGGGACUCUAGCGGGACUGCCGGUGCAAACCGAGAGGAAGGUGGGGACGACGUCAAAUCAUCAUGGCCCUUACGCCUAGGGCUACACACAUGCUACAAUGGUCAGUACAAUGGGUAGCGACAUAGUGAUAUGAAGCCAAUCUCAAAAAGCUGAUCUCAGUUCGGAGUUG